AAGAUUAAGCCAUGCAUGUCUAAGUAUAAGCGUUAUACUGUGAAACUGCGAAUGGCCCAUUAAAUCAGUUAUAGUUUAUUUGAAGAUAAUAACCAUUAGGAUAACCGUGGUAAUUCUAGAGCUAAUACUUGCUUCUAGGCUUUAUUAGAUAUGAAUCACAAUAACUUCAGAUCGUUCUGACGCUUCAUUCAAAUUUCUGCCCUAUCAGCUAGAUGGCAAGGUAUUGGCU
rnacentral:rRNA from 1 species